rnacentral:SRP_RNA from 2 species
GUCGAGCUCGGUAGCGUGGGCUUAUAAUCCAUGUGGAGACAAUAGGAUGAUAGGACGUUGGGUCGAUCUCGUUGGGCCGGGUUUGUUGGGCUUAUUAUGGCCUGCCCGUUCCAGGUUAGGAGUUGAGGCAUGCGGCUUGAGCGAAGGCUUUAGUCACGUGUUUCUUAAAGUGGGGGAGACUGCGUGAGGUUGGUUUCACAGAGCAGCGUACACCUCCCGCUCUUGACGGUGGAAGGAUAACGGGCCUUCGCCUGCCGAGCCUUACUAUGACCCAAUAAGCUGAUUCCGAUUGGACCAAUUUUUUU